AUGGUCAGCCGUGGUGGCUCCUUUGAAACUGCCAGUCUUGAACUCAAGCUCUGGGCUCCCCGCAAGUCUGAAAAUCUUGGCCCCGUCUUCAUGUUGCCGAGUGCCACAACAGCUCUUCUCUUCGGCAGCGGGACCCGGCUCACGGUGGAACCAGAAAAUCCAGGGACUUCCCGUCCAUCCGUCUUUGUUGUGAAAUCUGCAAAAUCAAGCGAUGGCCAAAAGUUGACGGCGGCUUGUUUAGCUAAGGAUUUCUACCCCAAGGACAUAGAAGUAAGCAUGAGUCAAGAGAAAGACGUUGUAUACAAAUCGAAAGAAGGCAUUCUCUCUUCAAAUGGGAAAUACAGCAUGAUCCAGGUGGUGAAGGUUGAACCGAAUGAAGAAGUGAAGUGCUCUGUUAAACACGGCGAAGAAUAUAUUAAUCAAACGGAGCCUCAAUCAGCUCCCAUCCCGGCCCCAAUCAAUAACACUCAAGUGUGUGAAUCUUCAAAUUCCACUUUCGAAGAGCCAAACAUGGAAAAAGUGAACAUGCUGUCAGUGACUGUGCUGGGUCUGCGAGUUCUGCUUGCCAAAAGCAUCGCCUUCAACAUGCUCAUGACGGUCAAGUUGUUCAUUUUCUGA